ACCUACCACGACCGGUCAUUUGACCGGUAGUACGAUUUAUACAUUUAUGUAAGAGUUUCUCUCUAAGACUCAAUGCCAAAACUAUAAAGUCGUUACAAACGAAAGUUCUCACUCGACUAUCGGGCUAGCGGUGUUUAUUUGCUUGAUUGAUAUCCGAUACGGUCAAGAUCCUCGAAUGUUCUACGCCAUCUCAUCUACUAUGACGUAAAAUAAAUAAACUUGUAACUGAAGGAAGUGUAUAGACGUCUUCUCACGAAUUCAAAUCAGUAUAGUCUUGCGACACGAACAGAGUGCAUCGAACGUGAAA
rnacentral:lncRNA from 1 species